rnacentral:rRNA from 1 species
GGGCCCGCACAAGCGGUGGAGCAUGUGGUUCAAUUCGACGCAACGCGAAGAACCUUACCUGGGCUCGAACGGCUGGUCAACGGCAGUGGAAACACUGUUAUCCCGCAAGGGAGUCCAGUCGAGGUGCUGCAUGGCUGUCGUCAGCUCGUGUCGUGAGAUGUUGGGUUAAGUCCCGCAACGAGCGCAACCCUUGUCCUGUGUUGCCAAUCCGCAAGGAGGAACUCGCAGGAGACCGCCAGCGAUAAGUUGGAGGAAGGUGGGGAUGACGUCAAGUCCUCAUGGCCUUUAUGUCCAGGGCUACACACGUGCUACAAUGGCCGGUACAAAGCGCAGCAAACCCGCGAGGGGGAGCCAAUCGCAAAAAACCGGUCUCAGUUCGGAUUGCAGGCUGCAACUCGCCUGCAUGAAGCUGGAAUCGCUAGUAAUGGCAGAUCAGCACGCUGCCGUGAAUACGUUCCCGGGCCUU